rnacentral:rRNA from 1 species
AUGAGUGGCGAACGGGUGAGUAACACGUGAGUAACCUGCCCCUUCUUUGGGAUAACGCCCGGAAACGGGUGCUAAUACUGGAUAUUCACUGAUCUUCGCAUGGGGGUUGGUGGAAAGGGUUUUUUCUGGUGGGGGAUGGGCUCGCGGCCUAUCAGCUUGUUGGUGGGGUGAUGGCCUACCAAGGCUUUGACGGGUAGCUGGCCUGAGAGGGUGACCGGUCACAUUGGGACUGAGAUACGGCCCAG